rnacentral:rRNA from 1 species
AUUGAACGCUGGCGGCAUGCUUUACACAUGCAAGUCGAACGGCAGCGCGGGCUUCGGCCUGGCGGCGAGUGGCGAACGGGUGAGUAAUACAUCGGAACGUGCCCAGUAGUGGGGGAUAGCUCGGCGAAAGCCGGAUUAAUACCGCAUACGACCUGAGGGUGAAAGCGGGGGAUCUUCGGACCUCGCGCUCUUGGAGCGGCCGAUGGCAGAUUAGCUAGUUGGUGGGGUAAAGGCCUACCAAGGCGACGAUCUGUAGCUGGUCUGAGAGGACGACCAGCCACACUGGGACUGAGACACGGCCCAGACGCCUACGGGAGGCAGCAGUGGGGAAUUUUGGACAAUGGGCGAAAGCCUGAUCCAGCAAUGCCGCGUGUGUGAUGAAGGCCUUCGGGUUGUAAAGCACUUUUGGCGGGAACGAAAAGGACUGUGCCAAUACCACGGUUCGAUGACGGUACCCGCAGAAUAAGCACCGGCUAACUACGUG